CAUUAAGAAGCUAUAUAGCACCAAUCUUUUAAAUUGGAGACUGAGAGCCCAGAUCUCUCCUUAGUGA
rnacentral:tRNA from 1 species